rnacentral:rRNA from 1 species
AUUGAACGCUGGCGGCCGGCCUCACACAUGCAAGUCGAACGAGUGGCGGACGGGUGAGUAAUGUCUGGGAAACUGCCUGAUGGAGGGGGAUAACCACUGGAAACGGGAGCUAAUACCGCAUACCAUAAGAUGUGCCCAGAUGGGAAUCGGUAGUUGGAGGGGUAACGGCUCACCAAGGAGACGAUCCCUAGCUAGUCUGAUAGGAUGACCAUCCAAACGGGAUGUGAGACACGUUCCAGAUUCCCACGGGAGGCAGCAGUGGUGAAUAUUGCACAAUGGGGGCAAGCCUGAUGCAGAAAUGCGGCGUGUAUGAAGAAGGCCUUCGGGUUGUAAAGUAUGUUCAGCGGGGAGGCGUUACCCGCAGAGGAAGCACCGGCUAACUCCGUGCCAGCCGCCGCGGUAAUUC